rnacentral:rRNA from 1 species
UUCUAAUAGAUUUUAUUAUUAGUAAAAUCUGCUCAAUGAAAUUUUAAUAGCCGCAAUUAUCUUGUGCUAAGGUAGCAUAAUCAUUUGUCUUUUAAUUAAAGACUAGAACGAAAGAUUUAACAUUUAAAUUUCUAUUAAAAUUUAAUAUUCAAACUUAUUUUAAAUAUUAAAAAAUAUUUAUAUAUAAAAAAGACGAUAAGACCCUAUUGAACUUUACUUUUGUUUAACUGGGGAAGUAAAUUAAAUAUUAUUUUAAUAAAAAUUAAAAAUUAAUUAACCAAAAAAUUUGAUAUAUAAUUAAGUUACCAUAGGGAUAACAGCGUAAUAAUUUUCUAAAGAUCUUAUUUAAAAAAUAGAUUACGACCUCGAUGUUGAAUAAUUUUCCUAAUAUUUUUAAUGAAACAAUUUAUUAAGGAAGUCUGUUCGACUUUUAAUUAAUUACA